rnacentral:rRNA from 1 species
GAUGAACGCUGGCGGCGUGCCUAAUACAUGCAAGUCGAGCGAACAGAUGAGAAGCUUGCUUCUCUGAUGUUAGCGGCGGACGGGUGAGUAACACGUGGGUAACCUACCUAUAAGACUGGGAUAACUCCGGGAAACCGGGGCUAAUACCGGAUAAUAUUUUGAACCGCAUGGUUCAAUAGUGAAAGACGGUUUCCGCUGUCACUCAUAGAUGGACCCGCGCCGUAUUAGCUAGUUGGUAAGGUAACGGCUUACCAAGGCGACGAUACGUAGCCGACCUGAGAGGGUGAUCGGCCACACUGGAACUGAGACACGGUCCAGACUCCUACGGGAGGCAGCAGUAGGGAAUCUUCCGCAAUGGGCGAAAGCCUGACGGAGCAACGCCGCGUGAGUGAUGAAGGUCUUCGGAUCGUAAAACUCUGUUGUUAGGGAAGAACAAAUUUGUUAGUAACUGAACAAGUCUUGACGGUACCUAACCAGAAAGCCACGGCUAACUACGUGCCAGCCGCCGCGGUAA